CCUACGGGAGGCAGCAGUGAGGAAUAUUGGUCAAUGGUCGCGAGCCUGAACCAGCCAAGUAGCGUGAAGGAUGACGGCCCUAUGGAUUGUAAACUUCUUUUAUCAGGGAAUAAAAUGCGCCACGUGUGCCGUUUUGUAGGUACCUCAUGAAUAAGGAUCGGCUAACUCCGUGCCAGCAGCCGCGGUAAUACGGAGGGUCCGAGCGUUAUCCGGAUUUAUUGGGUUUAAAGGGAGCGUAGGGCGGAUGUUAAGUCUGGCGUGAAAUUUAGGGGCGCAACCAUGUCAGUGCGGUGGAAACUGGCUUUCUUGAGUGCGCGAGAGGUAGGCGGAAUGCGUGGUGUAGCGGUGAAAUGCUUAGAUAUCACGAAGAACUCCGAUUGCGAAGGCAGCAUACGGGCGCGCUACUGACGCUGAUGCUCGAAGGUGUGGGUAUCGAACAGGAUUAGAUACCCUUGUAGUC
rnacentral:rRNA from 1 species